GGAUGUGAGAACAAUCGAGCAGUGACUACUAUAACUCUAUUGGUCACUGUAGCUGAUGAGAGCCUCUGUGGGGAUGACUCCCUUCUUCCUUCAAUAAGUCCUGAGAAUCCCUUUUGCACUUGGUUGAUGAAGAAACCCUUCACCAAUAGAGGAAAAUCAUUAUUUGUUCAAUGGUAUAUAGUUGGUGUGCUUUCUCUCAAAAUAAUCUUAAGAUAGAUUUGUCAACUAACAUAGUUAACAUAGUUCUAAGACCACAGCUGAGGCACUGCAUGUGAUAGUCUUUCUU
rnacentral:snRNA from 1 species